rnacentral:rRNA from 1 species
UAUCUCUGUAGAGUCUGCAUAUCAAUAAGCGGAGGAAAAGAAACUAACUAGGAUUCCCUCAGUAACGGCGAGUGAGGCGGGAAGAGCUCAAAUUUGAAAUCUUCAAGGUUCUACCUUGACGAAGUUGUAGUUUAAAGAAGUGUUUUCUGUUGGAGUUUUGGUAAAAGUUCUUUGGAAUAGGACAUCAUAGAGGGUGAGAAUCCCGUAUUUGACCAUUAUUUCCAGCUUUGUGAUACACUUUCAAAGAGUCGGAUUGUUUGGGAAUGCAGUCCAAAAUGGGUGGUAAAUUUCAUCUAAAGCUAAAUAUCGGCGAGAGACCGAUAGCGAACAAGUACCGUGAGGGAAAGAUGAAAAGAACUUUGAAAAGAGAGUUAAACAGUACGUGAAAUUGUCAAAAGGGAAGCGUUUGACACCAGUGUUGUUUUUCUGAAAAUCAAUUAAAGAACUGUUUAUGCUAAGCUGUUUAGACUUUAUCAGCUAUCUGUUUAGUUUUGAGCUUUUCUUUAAUGCACUUUUCAGUUAACAAGUCAACAUCAAUUUCUUUCGCUGUAAAAAAGCUUGAGGAAGGUGGCUUGAGAUUCGUCUCAAGUGUUUAUAGCCUCUUGCCUAUGCAGUCGGAGAGAUUGAGGUCUGCAGCGUAGAUCCUUCGGGGCUAAAUGCAUUUGUGCUAAGUUAUAGCAUUUUAUAGACAACUUGUUGACUAUGAUUUGUCUUGUAGCUUACUCGCUUAUGUUAUUUUACCUACGCUUAGGAUGUUGACGAUCAGCUGAGCGCG